CUUGUAUGUAGACAAAACAAUGGACAGAUAUGAUAAUUGACCAUUGGAAACAAGCUUGCAAAAAGGGGCACAAUUCAAGGUGCUGGUCAUCAUCUUAAAAGUCCUAUAUUGUACAUGUUAUCUGUGGGACUGCUUUUCCCUAAGGACACCUAUCCAUCUUACCAGGCAUUGAAGAGGCAGGACUCACAAACAG